UUGCGUUCAGUUUUUACUUUUUAAAAUCUCUUUCUUGCUUACUUUGGAGGUCAGGGGAGACACGCGGUUCAUGUGUGGAGUCAGAGGAUGACUUGCAGGGCUUGUUUCUUUCCUUCCAUACUGUGGUCCCAGGAUUGAAUGCAGGUCACUACAGCCUGGGCUUUUACCUGCUGAGACAUCUUGUUGAUCACGCACCAGUUUCCUUAGAACGGUGGUUCUCAGCCUUCCUAGUGCUGUGACCCUUUAAUAUAGUUAGUUCCUCGUGCUAUUGUAACCUCCAGCCAUAAAAUUAUUUUAUUGCUACCUUAUAAUUUUGAUACUGUUAUGAAGCAUAAUGUAAAUAUAUCUGUGUUUUCUGAUGGGUUAGGUGACCCCUGUGAAAGGGUCAUUUGACUCCCAGGUUGAGGACCACUGCUUUAGUCCUUUUGACCUAUACAGUUUCUCCAAGUCUCACAGCAGUUACUCACCAGAUUUUGGGCUGUAUAGCUUAAUCCCUUUACUACAUUAGAGAGAAUUGUGUGUGAAAAGUAUACAGUGAUAGUACCCAUCCUUGUGCAUGGCUCAAGGCUUCAUAUGGCAUUUACAACCUAGUUUAUGGGUCUACUGUCUACCAUUCAUAAUCCAAGUGUAGACUGUUAGCCAUGUGAAAAAUAGGGCAGAGGACUUGAGUUCUACAUUGUUCAUUUAUAGCCUUUGGCUCUUUUUUUUCUCAUCAUUAAAAUAGGAUUAUAUGAUAUAAAGGUAGAAGGGUAUGUAGCUGAUAUUAUUGUCAGAAUCUGUAGUGUUUUUCUUUCCAGAGUAAACUGCCUGAAAGGUAGAUGUCAGGUUUAAUAGUUAGCUCUGUGACAUUAGAUGCUUUGGGUAAACUGUAGGAAGAGAAUUAACUUACCUCAGAAGAUUAAAUGUGCUUAAUAAACUCAGUGCUGAGAGAGCAAUAUGAUACAGUAAUAACAGUGUUACACUUGAACUAAUUGAACAAUUUUAAAAGCAAAGCCAAUAGUCAAAGGGAUUGUAACAUUAACUUGGUGAGAUUAAAAGACUCUGCUCUAUGCUUCGCAACCUACCCCCUGUUAUGUAUAUUGAAUAUAGCAUAAAAUUUAAGCAAUGCAACCAUUUAUAAGCGUGCAGUUUGUGGCAUUAAAUGAAUUGAUAAUGCUGUUAGGACCACUAUAACCAUCUAUCUGCAUAGUUUUUUUUAUCUUGUAAAACUAAAACUAUACCCAUUAAAUGAUGGUUCCCCAGUCUUCUAUUCCCCAGCUCCUAGCAGCCACCAUUUGUUGUUUGACUGUCAGGUAUCGCAUAAGUGAAAUCAUAAAUCUGGCUUAUGACUGGUGUAUUUGACUUAACCUGCUGCCUAUAUGCAUACGAUACAGUUUAGUUUUUGCUAGGCAAGCCUGUAAUGUCAGCACUUCAGAGUUGAGAUAGAGGGAAAUACCCUAAGUUCAAGGCAAAUCUAGGCAUUAGUGUAAGACCCUGUUUCAAAGAAAACUAAAAAGGAAAGAAUAAUUUCUUUCCUUUUGGAGAAUAAAAGUAAUGAUGGGCUUUGGUUUUGGGUUUUUUGUUUGUUUUGUUUUUCGAGACAGAGUUUCUCUGUAUAGCCCUGGUUGGCCUGGAACUCAUUCUGUAGACCAGACUGGCUUCGAACUCAGAAAUCUGCCUGCCUCUGCCUCCCAAGUGCUGGGAUUAAAGGUGUGCGCCACCAUGCCCGGCAGUAAUGGGCUUUUAUAUAUCCGUUCAUCAGUAGCCAACACUAAGCUGCUUCCAUGUCGUCACCGUGUGACCUGAGCUGCUUUGAAGACGGGCAUACAAAUUCCUCUUUGAGCCUAUGCUUUGCAGCUUUUGGGUAUCUUCAGAAGUGCAAUUGGUGGCUUAUAUGGUAAUUUAUCUCUCUCUAUAAAUGGCAUCUCUUAAGUUGCCCAGGCUGGUCUUGAGCUGAUGAUUUGCCUCAGCCUUCUGAGUGCUUCGAUUGUAGGCCUGUGCCACCAUUCCUGACUGCUUGGCUUCUCCUAAGAUGUUUUCACAGGAGCUGAUCCAUUUUAUAAUGUCCACAGCAGGAUGUGAGGAGUCUUCUUUGUAUCCUCAGCAGCAUGUUUUCUGUUUUAAUGAUGUUUUCUUUUUUGAGACUAAAUCUCACCAGCUAGCUAGCCCAGGCUGGCCUUAGACAUGUAAAUUUUCCUUGUACAGCCUCCCAACUGCUAGGACUACAAGUAUGUACCAUCACACUAGCUAAUUUUUUAUUUUAUUUUUUUUAAUUAAUCUUCUUAAUAGUGUGUUGUCAUUGGGAUUUUAUACUUUGCCUUUGUACAUUUUUUUUUUCUUGUUUAGUUUUGAGAAUAAUUUCCCUCAAGGAACUGGUAAUGUAAGUAGAAUGGUGAGACUUGAAAGAGUAGAGGAAAAGUUGCUGUAAAUGACAUUGGUUAGCUCAUAUUUUUAUGUAGGUCAAAUGUAGUAGUUUUCAAAGAUGUAUGCAAAUGAGGAAGUUCAUGUCAGCCUGGCUAAGCCUAUUCCCUCCUCCAUCGUUUUUCAUUCCUGGCACAAAUUGUUGAUUAUAAUUCUUCAUUGCAAGGGUCGGAUGGACACCUUUGUUCAGCAGUCAGUGAUUGGAUAAUAGGAUCAAAGUUUAAAAGUUGGUGGCUAUAUUAUUGUCUGUCUUGAAUUUAUCAAUCUAGUUGAACUUGGAAAUAAAUUUUAAAAGGCUUUGCUUUGAUACUUUCUUUAAUGGCUUGAGGUUCUGACUCACAUGCAGUUGGUAAGCAAAAGUUGACUAGAUGAAUUGCAGUGGAUACUGUCAUUAAACUCCACAGCGCUGGCUCUAUAGGAGAGGGGCUGGGCUCACUAGGAAGGUGAUGGCUUUGUUGACUUUUCUACAGUGUGUCACCAGCUUAUAUUUUGUUGUAGGUUUGUUUGUUUGUUUGUUUGUUUUUUAAGAUCUGGGCCACUUUGAGCAAGGGUCUUCCAGAUGGCCAUCAGGAAACUUUCUGAAUAGGCAAUUUGCCCUUUUUUUCUUUUCUGAGUGUACAUCUAAAACACUUUAAAUGUUAAACAAGUUUUUGUGGUUAAAACUUUGUUUUUCUUUGCUUUAAUGUUUCUCAACAUGCAUGGUAGUAAUACCUGAUCCCAGUGCUCGGGGGCUGCGGCCAGUUAACUUUUGCUGCUGCUUUAUCUACUUUG
rnacentral:lncRNA from 1 species